ACUCCUACGGGAGGCAGCAGUGGGAAGUAUUGCACAAUGGGCGGCAAGCUGAUGCAGCCAUGCCGCGUGUAUGAAGAAGGCCUUCGGGUUGUAAAGUACUUUCAGCAGUGAGGAAGGUGGAGUCGUUAAUAGCGGCCUCAUUUGACGUUAGCUGCAGAAGAAGCACCGGCUAACUCCGUGCCAGCAGCCGCGGUAAUACGGAGGGUGCGAGCGUUAAUCGGAAUUACUGGGCGUAAAGCGCAUGCAGGUGGUUUGUUAAGUCAGAUGUGAAAG
rnacentral:rRNA from 1 species